UGGAAGCAUUCGUUUGAGCCA
rnacentral:piRNA from 1 species